rnacentral:rRNA from 1 species
GACGAACGCUGGCGGCGCGCUUAAUACAUGCAAGUCGAACGAGAAGCCAGAGCUUGCUCUGGUGGAAAGUGGCGAACGGGUGAGUAACACGUGAGAAACCUGCCCCAAAGAUUGGGAUAAGCCUUGGAAACGAGGUCUAAUACCAAAUACCUUCUUUUUAACACAUGUUAAAAAGAAGAAAUGCUCCGGCGCUUUGGGAUGGUCUCGCGAUCUAUCAGCUUGUUGGUGAGGUAACGGCUCACCAAGGCAUCGACGGAUAGCUGGUCAGAGAGGAUGUCCAGCCACAUUGGAACUGAGACACGGUCCAAACUCCUACGGGAGGCAGCAGUAGGGAAUCUUGCACAAUGAGGGAAACCUUGAUGCAGCGACGCCGCGUGCGGGACGAAGGCCCUAGGGUUGUAAACCGCUUUCAGUAGGGACGAAAGUGACGGUACCUACAGAAGAAGACCCCGGCCAACUAUGUGCCAGCAGCCGCGGUAAU